rnacentral:rRNA from 1 species
UACGAAGGGGGCUAGCGUUGCUCGGAAUUACUGGGCGUAAAGCGCACGUAGGCGGAUUGUUAAGUCGGGGGUGAAAUCCUGGAGCUCAACUCCAGAACUGCCUUCGAAACUGGCGAUCUUGAGUCCGGGAGAGGUGAGUGGAACUGCGAGUGUAGAGGUGAAAUUCGUAGAUAUUCGCAAGAACACCAGUGGCGAAGGCGACACCCUGGACUCAUACUGACACUGAGGUGCGAAAGCGUGGGGAGCAAACAGG